rnacentral:rRNA from 1 species
UACGAAGGGGGCUAGCGUUGUUCGGAAUUACUGGGCGUAAAGCGCACGUAGGCGGAUCGAUCAGUCAGGGGUGAAAUCCCAGGGCUCAACCCUGGAACUGCCUUUGAUACUGUCGAUCUGGAGUAUGGAAGAGGUGAGUGGAAUUCCGAGUGUAGAGGUGAAAUUCGUAGAUAUUAGGAAGAACACCAGUGGCGAAGGCGGCUCACUGGUCCGGUACUGACGCUGAGGUGCGAAAGCGUGGGGAGCAAACAGGG